CAUGGUUGGAGAUAAGGCACUGAGCUAGAUGGUCAGAUUCAAUUUUAGCUCUGCUCAUUUGAGAUUUCAGUCUCUAGAGGUCUUGCUGCUGGAUGACAACCGUCUGUCAGACCCGAGUGUCUUUGUGAGCCUGUCUCAUCUCCGCAGCAUUGCAAAUGGGACUGAACAAUAGCAAAUGUCCUGCUGCAAAACACAGGCGGGCCAAAGCCAGCAGAUGGCUGGUAACUCAGAUCCUGCCCUGGGUGUCUACUUAUCUCUGGGUCUGAUUUGAGAAACAGCUUUCUGCUUUUUCCCUUCUUUGCUCUGUUCUGUCCUUCCUAUCAGUGCAGUGGCACUAGGAGAGGCUGCAGAUAAGCUUCCCUUCUUUAAUGUCAGCUUUUAUGAUUCAGAGAGGAGUCACUAGGAAAGGGAAGCUCAGCCAAGCUGUGGUGGGCUUGAGUACAGUGCAGGGAGCUCUGAUGUUCACCUGGUGACACAGGGGUGGGACUUUUGUCUGCAUUGUUGGCUCUGCCAAGAUAUUCCUGGAGGAAAUGUCACAUUGCCCAUUGUGAGGCUGGGGGCUGGCAUGCAGAGAUUUGGGUUUCUAAGCCCUCCUGUGACCCAGGCAAGUGCACUGGUGAUGUUAUGCUUCUGUGGAAAAGGGGAAUGUUGUUAGGGAAAGCCAGGAGGACCACGGCUCGUCAGAGCCAUGGGUGAUUUGAUGAGCUGCCAGGAUGUCUCCUUGUCUGUUAAAUUCUCAACAACAGAUGAGCUUCAGCUAGGUGACCCACAGGCUGGUGUGGGGGACUGAACUGAUAGACCUUAGGGGCAGUGUUGGACUGAGCCUACAGUUAGGAUUUCAUUUGUCAGGAGGGGCAAUGGGGCAGCAGAAUGGGGGUGUCAGUACAGUUCUGCAGUGCUGCCGGGCUGCCCAGUGGGGAGGCAGCUCAAGAGCCAGGACGAACAGAUGGCUGUGUGAAUACUGAAAGCAAAAGUGGAGUUUCCCAUGCAUUCCCUCUUCCGAUAGCUUGAGAGAACUGAAUCUGGACAGAAACAGGAUUUCAGCAGUCCCCUACCUGCACCAAGCAGAGAGCAUGCAGUUCUCCCUCCACCCUACGCUGGAUGAUGGCAGCUUCAGGGCAGAGUGGUACCAGUGCCUGGGCAGCCUUUGGCAGCAGCUGCAGCCGCCACAGCAUGAGGCCAUGGAGGUGCCAGCAGAGCUGGAAACGAAGAAAGGUCAGCUUGAAGACAUCGAGUUACAGAACAACAGGGCUCCAGACAGGACUGAGGUCGUGUUUAAUUCUGACUCUCAGGGAUGCCCAAUGCAGGGUGUUGCCAGGGAGGGAUACCCACGUGCCUUGAAGACUCUGCCUGCUCUUUCCACGUGUAGAGACGUUUGUGCUCUCUUUCCUGUACUGGAACAUCUCAGCCUGGCCUUCAACAAGAUUAUGAAUGAGACAGCCCUCUUACCUGUGGCUUUCUUCCCGCAUCUGAAGCAGCUGACAUUUCACAACAACCCUCUUACCACCACCCGCAGUGGUACAGUAUGGGGACCAAGGGGUUUCCCAGAGUGGGUGCUGUUCCCUCUCUGGGACAGGGACUCCCUUCUCAUUCAGCAUUUGGACGCUGCUGUGCUGGCCCAGGUCCCCAAGGAGGUGCUUUAAUCCUUGCUAACGAGCAAAGCAAACAGCAGUGCCCUGUUUGCAGUACCCUGUUGCAGCUCCUGGUCCCACUGGAGCUCAACAGCCCAACCACAACUGCAGCAGCGCAGCCUCAGGCUAAAUUUUGCUGCCUGCAGCCCUCGUGCACCCCUGCUCCUUACAGGGCACCCACCUCUGCUGACCCGGCUCCUCCAGCAGAAGUUGGGGAUUCAACUUGUUCACCACAAGAGCCCAGCUGCAAGGAGGUGGCACUUCUCCAUCCCUCUCAAAGCCAGCCGCAAGGUCUCAUCUCAUCUCCCCAAAGUCAAGAAGCAGCCGCUAAUGCUGGAAGCUCCUGCUGAAGCCUUCAUCUGGAGACCACUCCCAGCCAUGGUGGAGGCUACAGGACGAGCUGCACCUCUGAUCUCACUCCAGCCACUGCCUCCCAUCAGCUCCAUGCCAGCAGUGCGGCAUGGGGAACGUGACCCCAGGACUCCCAGCACAGCCCAGGAGGACGUUGAAGCCUUCUUCAUGACACAGGUGUGCGAGGAUGACUCCAAGCCCUUGCUGCAACCCAUGGCAGAGGACAGGCUGGAGAAGAGGAGCAAGCAGAGGGAGGAAGGCAGCUCCUGGGCUGUUCCAGAACGGUACAAGGGCUAUGAGGAGCUGCUCGGUGGAGACACUGACCCAGAUUUUAUUGAGCCAGUUGGUGACAGAAGAAUGUGCAGGCACUCUACUAUGUCCUGAAGCACCCCCUGGUGUACCGGGAUGCCAAGCCACGACUGGACAGCAUGCAGAAGCCCUACGUGCCUCAGAAAAAGGUGAAGAGCCCAAGCUAUAAAGGGAGAGAACACUU
rnacentral:lncRNA from 7 species